rnacentral:rRNA from 1 species
UACGGAGGGUGCGAGCGUUGUCCGGAAUCAUUGGGCGUAAAGGGCGCGUAGGUGGCCCGGUCAGUCAGUGGUGAAAGCGCGGGGCUCAACUCCGCGUCGGCCAUUGAUACUGCUGGGCUGGAGCACUGUAGAGGCAGGCGGAAUUCCGGGUGUAGCGGUGGAAUGCGUAGAGAUCCGGAAGAACACCGGUGGCGAAGGCGGCCUGCUGGGCAGUUGCUGGACACUGGAGGCGCGACAGCGUGGGGAGCAAACAGGG